rnacentral:lncRNA from 1 species
CCAGGUAUUGUAAAUAUCCUUCUUAAGCAAAAUAUUGAUGUCUUCGCUAAAGACAUAUGUGGACGAGAUGCAGAAGAUUACGCUAUUUCUCAUCAUUUGACAAAAUGUUGGAAUUUCUGAUGAAUCUGCAGUCAGCAUUUUGCAUGAACUGUGUGUGGAUUUAUUGCCUGCAUUGGAUGAUGAAGACUUGAGUGUUGCUACUAAGCAGUGUGUCCCCGAGAAAGUG